CUAAGUCUGGUCGGAAUAAACGCUGAAAGCAUCUAAGCGUGAAGUCCCCCUCAAGAUGAGAUCUCCCACUAGGUAACUAGGUAAGACCCCAGGCAGACUACCUGGUUGAUAGGCCGGAUGUGUAAGUGUCGCAAGGCACUCAGCUGACCGGUACUAAUAGGUCGAGGGCUUGACUUC
rnacentral:rRNA from 1 species